rnacentral:rRNA from 1 species
GAAAAGAAACUAACAAGGAUUCCCUUAGUAACGGCGAGUGAACCGGGAAAAGCCCAGCACUGAAUCCCCCGUUCCCUGUGGACGGCGGGACCUGUGGUGUUAGGGACGGUUGCACAGGGCGGAAGGCUGCGGCGUCCGUGUCUCUUGAUAGGGUCCACUCCCAUAGCGGGUGUCGGGCCUCUAGGCACGUCCAGGCUUCUCCCUUGCUCCGUCCUCGGAGUCGGGUUGUUUGGUAAUGCAGCCCAAAGUGGGUGGUAAGCUCCAUCUAAGGCUAAAUAUGACCACGAGACCGAUAGCGAACAAGUACCGUAAGGGAAAGUUGAAAAGAACUUUGAAGAGAGAGUUCAAGAGUACGUGAAACCGCUUAGAGGGAAACGGAUGGGCCCGCAAAAUGGUCGCCGGCGGAAUUCAGCUCGCCGCCCGUCUUGCCCGUGCCGUCGUCGCGCAACUCGCGCGGCGGUGUGCACGGGACCGAGUGGCGGGUGCACUUUCCGCCGUGCGAACGGCCGCAACCGGUUCCGGGCCAGCCAGAACGACCGGGGCAAGGUGGCGCGGCGAUGCGAGUCUUCGGGCUCACGUCGCUCGCGUGUUACAGGCUCCGGUAGCGGCGGCUCUGGCUCGGGACCGAGUAGAACGAACUUUGCAUCCUUCGGCACGCCCGCGUCGGAAGCACCCCCUCGGGUGCCCCGGCUGCGGCGGCCGUCACGGGAUCUGCGGCUCGAAUUAUGGUCGGCAACCCAUCCGAC